rnacentral:rRNA from 1 species
UACGGGGGGGGCAAGCGUUGUUCGGAGUUACUGGGCGUAAAGGGUGCGUAGGCGGUCCUAUAAGUAUGGUGUGAAAUCUCCCGGCUUAACUGGGAGGGUGCGCUAUAGACUGUGGGACUAGAGUGUGGGAGAGGAAAGUGGAAUUCCUGGUGUAGCGGUGAAAUGCGUAGAUAUCAGGAGGAACACCUGUGGCGAAAGCGGCGCACUGGACCACAACUGACGCUGAGGCGCGAAAGCUAGGGGGAGCAAACAGG